rnacentral:rRNA from 1 species
GAACGCUAGCGGCAGGCUUAACACAUGCAAGUCGAGGGGCAGCAUGAGACGGAGAUUCGUCGAAGUCUUGAUGGCGACCGGCGCAAGGGUGCGUAACGCGUGAGCAACUUGCCCGUUUCUGGGGAAUAACCGGUGGAAACGCCGACUAAUACCCCAUAGUAUUGAGUUUAGGCAUCUUUACUCAAUUAAAGAAUUUCGGAAACGGAUAGGCUCGCGUGACAUUAGCUGGAUGGCGGGGUAACGGCCCACCAUGGCAACGAUGUCUAGGGGUUCUGAGAGGAAGGUCCCCCACACUGGAACUGAGACACGGUCCAGACUCCUACGGGAGGCAGCAGUGAGGAAUAUUGGUCAAUGGUCUGACGACUGAACCAGCCAUGCCGCGUGAAGGUCACGGCCCUAUGGGUCUUAAACUUCUUUUGUAAGGGAGCAAUAAGUCUCACGUGUGGGAUGAUGAGAGUACCUUACGAAUAAGCAUCGGCUAACUCCGUG